rnacentral:rRNA from 1 species
GACGAACGCUGGCGGCGUGCCUAACACAUGCAAGUCGAGGGUUUUAGUAGUAAUACGAAGAACACUGGCGCACGGGUGAGUAACGCGUAGAUCAUCUGCCCCUAACACUGACAUAACAGUUCUAACGGACUGCUAAUAUCAGAUGUGAUAAGCAAUUAUUAAAGGGUAACCGGUUAGGGAUGAGUCUGCGUCUGAUUAGGUAGUUGGUGAGGUAACGGCUCACCAAGCCUACGAUCAGUAACUGGUCUGAGAGGACGAACAGUCACACUGGAACUGAGACACGGUCCAGACUCCUACGGGAGGCAGCAGUGAGGAAUAUUGCACAAUGGGAGAAAUCCUGAUGCAGCGACGCCGCGUGUGGGAAGAAGGAGCUUAGCUUCGUAAACCACUGGU